rnacentral:lncRNA from 1 species
ACUGUCAUCAAAACAAAACCUAGAGACUUAUAUGAUAUGGAAAACCAAGUAGAGGAUGAUGAUGAUGACACUUAUACACAAUGUAUGCCCUACAAUUUUGUGCCAGCUGAUGAUUUAAAUGCUACGACGACGUUGGUUAGAACAAAAUUUGAAGGAAACACUACUGCUUGAUUGUUACUGGUAAUAAUUAUUUAUGAUGUAUAUAUUUUGCAUUAAUUAUUGUGUUAUUUUACUCCAUAUAUUAAUUGAUUCUACCUUUUAUUUAUAUAAAUG